rnacentral:rRNA from 1 species
GACGUAGGGUGCGAGCGUUGUCCGGAUUUACUGGGCGUAAAGAGCGCGUAGGCGGUCUGUUAAGUGUGAAGUGAAAUCUCCAGAGCUCAACUCGGAAACUGCUUCGCAUACUGACAGGCUGGAGGAACGGAGAGGUGAGUGGAAUUCCUGGUGUACCGGUGAAAUGGGUUGAUAUCAGGAGGAACACCGAUGGCGAAGGCGGAUCUCUGGGCCUUACCUGACGCUGAGGAGCGAAAGCAUGGGGAGCAAACAGG